GAUGAACGCUGGCGGCGUGCCUAAUACAUGCAAGUCGAGCGAACAGACGAGGAGCUUGCUCCUCUGACGUUAGCGGCGGACGGGUGAGUAACACGUGGAUAACCUACCUAUAAGACUGGGAUAACUUCGGGAAACCGGAGCUAAUACCGGAUAAUAUAUUAAACCGCAUGGUUCAAUAGUGAAAGACGGUUUUGCUGUCACUUAUAGAUGGAUCCGCGCCGCAUUAGCUAGUUGGUAAGGUAACGGCUUACCAAGGCAACGAUGCGUAGCCGACCUGAGAGGGUGAUCGGCCACACUGGAACUGAGACACGGUCCAGACUCCUACGGGAGGCAGCAGUAGGGAAUCUUCCGCAAUGGGCGAAAGCUUGACGGAGCAACGCCGCGUGAGUGAUGAAGGUCUUCGGAUCGUAAAACUCUGUUAUUAGGGACGAACAAAUGUGUAAGUAACUAUGCACGUCUUGACGGUACCUAAUCAGAAAGCCACGGCUAACUACGUG
rnacentral:rRNA from 1 species